AACGAACGUUAGCGGCGCGCCUAACACAUGCAAGUCGAACGCGACAGGGGCAACUCUGUUGAGUGGCGCACGGGUGAGUAACACGUAGGUAAUCUCCCCCCGAGUGGGGGAUAACCUUCCGACAGGCGGGCUAAUACAGCAUAAGACCACGGCUUCGAAAGGAGCUGAGGACAACGCGGAGGAUCGAAAGACUUCGCUCUUGGGGAUGAGCCUGCGGCCCAUCAGGUAGUUGGCGGGGUAACGGCCCACCAAGCCUAAGACGGGUAGCUGGUCUGAGAGGAUGAUCAGCCACACUGGAACUGAGACACGGUCCAGACUCCUACGGGAGGCAGAAGUGGGGAAUCUUGCGCAAUGGACGAAAGUCUGACGCAGCGACGCCGCGUGGGUGAUGAAGGCCUUCGGGUUGUAAAGCCCUGUGGGGAGGGACGAAUAAGUUUCAGCUAAUACCUGAAGCGAUGACGGUACCUCCUUAGCAAGCACCGGCUAACUCUGUGCCAGCCGCCGCCGUAA
rnacentral:rRNA from 1 species